rnacentral:ncRNA from 1 species
CCCAGGGAAACUGGUCAUCAGGCGAACUGCGGCGUUCUGCUGGCAAAACAUAGCUUCGGUUAUGUCAAUGGCUAUUGGAUUGGUCCAUGAAGCGAAAAAUAGUUUACUGUGUCACUCGUACCGAUAACCGCAUCAGGUCUUCUAGGUAAGUAGCCUAUGGCCAUUGAGGCAUGAUAGUUCAGGGAAUUCGGCCAAUUAGAGCUGUAACUUCGGGAUAAAGCUUGGCUCUGAUGAAAAUCAGAACCGAUUGUUACGCGGAGAGCCCAACUGUUUAAUAAAAACGUAGUGUCGCGCUGUGGUAGUAUAGCCAGUGAACGCGACAUGAAUCCUGCUCAGUGCUGUGUCUGUUAAUAUGGUUCAAGCCAACGAAGCACCAAUAAAUAGCUGGGGUAACUAUGACUCUUAUCAAAGUAGCGAAAUACCUCGUC